rnacentral:rRNA from 1 species
AGAAUCAACGCUGGCGGCGUGCCUAACACAUGCAAGUCGAACGCGAAAGUGGAGCAAUCCAUGAGUAGAGUGGCAAACGGGUGAGUAACGCGUGGGCGACCUGCCUUCGAGUGGGGGAUAACAUUCCGAAAGGGAUGCUAAUACCGCAUAACAUCCUUCGUUUAGAUACGAGGUGAUCAAAGCCGGGAGCAAUUCUGGCGCUUUAAAAGAGGGGCCCCGCGUCCGAUUAGCUAGUUGGUGGGUAACGGCCUACCAAGGCUUCGAUCGGUA